UACAGAGGGUGCGAGCGUUGUCCGGAAUCACUGGGCGUAAAGGGCGCGUAGGUGGCGCGACAAGUCGGUGGUGAAAGCUCGACGCUUAACGUCGAGUCGGCCACUGAUACUGUUGGGCUUGAGCACUGUAGAGGCUAAUGGAAUUCCGGGUGUAGCGGUGGAAUGCGUAGAGAUCCGGAAGAACACCGGUGGCGAAGGCGGUUAGCUGGGCAGUUGCUGACACUGAGGCGCGACAGCGUGGGGAGCAAACAGG
rnacentral:rRNA from 1 species